rnacentral:piRNA from 1 species
UUGAAAUGCUAGGUCUUGAU